rnacentral:rRNA from 1 species
AUUGAACGCUGGCGGCAGGCCUAACACAUGCAAGUCGAGCGAGCGGCGGACGGGUGUGUAAUGUAUGGGGCUCUGCCCGCUAGAGGGGGAUAACUACUGGAAACGGUGGCUACUCCCGCAUACUAUCGGAUGAACCCAGAUGGGAUUAGCGAGUAGGUGGGGUAAAGGCUUACCUAGGCGACGAUCUCUAGCUGGUCUGAGUGGAUGAUCAGCCAAACUGGGACUGAGACACUGCCCAGCCUCCUACGGGAGGCAGCAGUGGGGAAUAUGGCACAAUGGGCGCAAGCCUGAUGCAGCCAUGCCGCGUGUAUGAAGAAGGCCUGAGGGUUGUAAAGUACUUUCAGCGGGGAGGCGUUACGCGCAGAAGAAGCACCGGCUAACUCCGUGCCAGCAGCCGCGGUAAUAC